GGAGCCUGUGCUUAAACUCAAGGUUGGGAUCUCUGUUUUGCUUCUCCUAGUUUCACUAGUGACGUGCUGUCGGUUUUCUGAAUUGCAUCGACAUAAGCAAGAAUCAUAGAACAGUUUGGAUUGGAAGGACCCUCCACAGGUCAUCUGGUCAAGAGAGUGGUGCUGCUGUCUGAAACAGGCAGCUUCAGUUAUUAAAGGAUUAUUAUUUGCAGUUCUUGCAGACACCUCUCAGCUGGCACGCCAAAACUGGUACAAUAUGGUUUGUGUCUUCCAACUUCUAAUGACACCAGCUUGAAUACAAACCCUGCAAACAGACAGUGCCACGCUCAGAAUAGUUUGCUACUUCACUUAAACAGCGUGAUAGAAGGGACAGAUAGAGAGGUUUGCUCAUAGGUGUCCUAUAAGUACCCUUGUAAGUGGAGCUACUAUUAAGAAUCUGCUAAAAUGUGGAAUGUUUAAAACACAGGAAUGGCAUUGAACAGACAAGCAAGAAAACUGAAAGGCAAAUCUCAUCCAGAAUACAACAAACUGCAACAUUUUCAGGGUAUGCUGAGCUCAGACUCAAUGCGCAAAGAGCACUUCUAAGCUAGGGAAGGUGCUUCCUUAGAUCACAGUAACCAUCGGCCUAGGGAUGUUCGCUUUGCAGGGAGAGGAUGGUCCAUGUUUCUGUGCUUUAAAGAAGCAUUUAAGGUUCAGUGAAGGGCACAGAUAUUACCUGAUCUACAGGGCUGAGCUUGGACCCAACUCCCUGAACCCUCUGGUUUCAGUGAGGAGGCAGCAGGGUUUCUCCUGUAAAGAACAGAGAGUGGAAAUGCAUUAUGCAGACUGUGAGUUGCUAUAAUACCUAACGUCGGUAACCCUGCUCCCAUAGCUGUGGCUGCUGCUAUGACUUUAAGUAACUGAUAAUUUUGAGUAACAAAAGGUGCACACAGUUUUCGCCCACAUCCAUGGGGAUUGCAUCUGAAUCAAAGCCAGGAGAGUCAAGCCCAGCACGAUGUGGAGCGAUGUGUCUGCACCCCAGCUGGUUUUAGAUGCCAACUUCAGAGACCGAAGUGUCUUCUUUCUUUGCUUUUGGACUGGCGGUGGAGCUUGCUUUGCUGGGGAUGAUUCUAAGCCUUUUGUAUUCAUUUGGAUUUAUUCCUAAAACCAGUUGGUAGCAGGGUCAGCGAGAGAGCAGGUUAGUCGCUAUAUAUAACCCUUCAUAUUAUUAGGGAGGGCAUAUUUACACUUAUAUGUAAGUAUAUUUAUGCUUAUAUGUGCAUACAUCUGUACAAGAGGACUUGCUGUGUAGAACUAUGUCAAAACAAAAGGGAGGAAAAGGAUGGUGAGGAACAAGUCCUACUGCAUAACACUGGUUUUCCUUCACUAUUUGGUGGAUCGUGUUCCCUGAGCACAGUGAAGCAGAAACCAGUGGCUUUACCUGUGUAAGAAAAACAAAGUCCCUGAAGCACAGAUGCUGAGUGAUCCAGCUCUUCAAAAACUAACCCAAGAACCAUUAUCUGUGCACGUAACUCCUGCUGAUGGCCAUGAGGACAGCCCCCGUGUAACUGUGUGGUUGAAAUAAGCAGAAUGCCUGAAGACACCGAGGAGCACAUUUCUAAUGGGGCAUUUCCAGGCAAAGGAUAUGACUCCCACAGACAAAGCAGAGGAAUACUUUUGACUAAGCAGCACGUACAUGUUUUUCCUCAUUUUAUCGCAUCUUUAUCUCUGGAUUCCCUGGCUAAAUUCACCUUUCCAAGAUGACUAAGGCCCGCUCUGCCUCAGCAGUGUAUCAACAUCACUGUGGUCAGUGAAGCUCACCACUGAAGGACGAUACCCAGCUCGUGAAGUGGCUGCUAAAAGCAUUUAAAGUCUUGCCUAAGAAGAAUGCAAUAAAACCAACAAAUAAUGCUAACAAGGAUUAAGCCUUCUGAUUUUCUACACCAUUUCCAGCUGGACCAGGGCACUGCACAUUAAGCUAAUGAGAGGUAAAAGCCAAAUUAGUCAGGUUUGAUGGAGCUUUCAUUGCCCAUUGAUGGCAGAGGCAAUUAUUCCUCAGUCUCUGUGAGCUUCAGUCCAUAGACUCACAUACCAUAGGAAGCUGAUCCAGUAGGGCUGACCUGCAAAUCUGAUGUGCCCAACUCUUGUCCUUUUCUAAGACAAUGACUGUAGAAGAGGGAGGAGGAAUGCAAAAUGAUGUCUGCUGCUCUAGCUCACCUCCAGCCUGAGUUCAUAGGUCUGCUUACAAACGCUUUCAUAUUUAUCCCACAUUAGGACCAAAUACUUCUAUAUUUAACCUAUAUUAGGACCAAAUGCCUUGAAUCCCGUGUUCAGUUCUGGCCCUCAGUACAAGAGAGACAUUGAGAUGCUGGAGUGGGGCCAGAGAAGGGCAAUGGAGCUGGUGCAGGGCCUGGAGCACAAGUGUGAUGGGGAACGGCUGAGGGACCUGGGGGGUUCAGUGUGGAGAAGAGAAGGCUCAGGGGGGACCUGAUCGCUCCCUACAACUGCCUGAGAGGAGGUUGUAGUGAGGUGGGGUCGGUCUCUGCUCCCAAGGAACAAGGGACAGGACAAGAGGAAACGGCCUCAAGCUGCACCAGGGCAGGUUUAGAUGGAGCUGAGGAACAAUUCCUUCCCCAGAGGGUGCUCAGGCAUUGGACCAG